rnacentral:rRNA from 1 species
UACGUAGGGGGCUAGCGUUGUCCGGAAUCAUUGGGCGUAAAGCGCGUGUAGGCGGUCCGGUAAGUCCGCUGUGAAAGUCGGGGGCUCAACCCUCGAAUGCCGGUGGAUACUGUCGGGCUUGAGUGCGGGAGAGGCGAGUGGAAUUCCUGGUGUAGCGGUGAAAUGCGCAGAUAUCAGGAGGAACACCGAUUGCGAAGGCAG